rnacentral:rRNA from 1 species
AGCACUAUACGGUGAAACUGCGAAUGGCUCAUUAAAUCAGUUAUCGUUUAUUUGAUAGUACCUUACUACAUGGAUAACCGUGGUAAUUCUAGAGCUAAUACAUGCUAAAAACCUCGACUUCGGAAGGGGUGUAUUUAUUAGAUAAAAAACCAAUGCCCUUCGGGGCUCCUUGGUGAAUCAUAAUAACUUAACGAAUCGCAUGGCCUUGCGCCGGCGAUGGUUCAUUCAAAUUUCUGCCCUAUCAACUUUCGAUGGUAGGAUAGUGGCCUACCAUGGUAUCAACGGGUAACGGGGAAUUAGGGUUCGACUCCGGAGAGGGAGCCUGAGAAACGGCUACCACAUCCAAGGAAGGCAGCAGGCGCGCAAAUUACCCAAUCCCGACACGGGGAGGUAGUGACAAUAAAUACUGAUACAGGGCUCUUUUGGGUCUUGUAAUUGGAAUGAGUACAAUUUAAAUCCCUUAACGAGGAACAAUUGGAGGGCAAGUCUGGUGCCAGCAGCCGCGGUAAUUCCAGCUCCAAUAGCGUAUAUUAAAGUUGUUGCAGUUAAAAAGCUCGUAGUUGAACCUUGGGCCUGGCUGGCCGGUCCGCCUCACCGCGUGUACUGGUCCGGCCGGGCCUUUCCUUCUGGGGAACCUCAUGCCCUUCACUGGGCGUGUUGGGGAACCAGGACUUUUACUUUGAAAAAAUUAGAGUGUUCAAAGCAGGCCUUUGCUCGAAUACAUUAGCAUGGAAUAAUAGAAUAGGACGUGUGGUUCUAUUUUGUUGGUUUCUAGGACCGCCGUAAUGAUUAAUAGGGAUAGUCGGGGGCAUCAGUAUUCAAUCGUCAGAGGUGAAAUUCUUGGAUUGAUUGAAGACUAACUACUG